rnacentral:rRNA from 1 species
AUUGAACGCUGGCGGCAGGCUUAACACAUGCAAGUCGAGCGGGGGAAGGUAGCUUGCUACCGGACCUAGCGGCGGACGAGUGAGUAAUGCUUAGGAAUCUGCCUAUUAGUGGGGGACAACAUCUCGAAAGGGAUGCUAAUACCGCAUACGUCCUACGGGAGAAAGCAGGGGAUCUUCGGACCUUGCGCUAAUAGAUGAGCCUAAGUCGGAUUAGCUAGUUGGUGGGGUAAAGGCCUACCAAGGCGACGAUCUGUAGCGGGUCUGAGAGGAUGAGCCGCCACACUGGGACUGAGACACGGCCCAGACUCCUACGGGAGGCAGCAGUGGGGAAUAUUGGACAAUGGGGGGAACCCUGAUCCAGCCAUGCCGCGUGUGUGAAGAAGGCCUUAUGGUUGUAAAGCACUUUAAGCGAGGAGGAGGCUACUCUAGUUAAUACCUAGGGAUAGUGGACGUUACUCGCAGAAUAAGCACCGGCUAACUCUGUGCCAGCAGCCGCAGUAA